rnacentral:rRNA from 1 species
GGCGGCAUGCCUUACACAUGCAAGUCGAGCGGCAGCGCGGGGGCAACCCUGGCGGCGAGCGGCGAACGGGUGAGUAAUGCAUCGGAACGUGUCCUCUUGUGGGGGAUAACCAGUCGAAAGACUGGCUAAUACCGCAUGAGAUCGAGAGAUGAAAGCAGGGGAUCCGCAAGGACCUUGCGCGAGAGGAGCGGCCGAUGCCCGAUUAGCUAGUUGGUGGGGUAAAAGCCUACCAAGGCGACGAUCGGUAGCUGGUCUGAGAGGACGACCAGCCACACUGGGACUGAGACACGGCCCAGACUCCUACGGGAGGCAGCAGUGGGGAAUCUUGGACAAUGGGGGCAACCCUGAUCCAGCCAUGCCGCGUGCGUGAAGAAGGCCUUCGGGUUGUAAAGCACUUUCGGACGGAACGAAAUCGCGCGGAUUAAUAACCCGCGUGGAUGACGGUACCGUAAGAAGAAGCACCGGCUAACUACGUGCCAGCAGCCGCGGUAAUACGUAGGGUGCGAGCGUUAAUCGGAAUUACUGGGCGUAAAGCGUGCGCAGGCGGUUAUAUAAGACAGAUGUGAAAUCCCCGGGCUCAACCUGGGACCUGCAUUUGUGACUGUAUAGCUAGAGUACGGUAGAGGGGGAUGGAAUUCCGCGUGUAGCAGUGAAAUGCGUAGAUAUGCGGAGGAACACCGAUGGCGAAGGCAAUCCCCUGGACCUGUACUGACGCUCAUGCACGAAAGCGUGGGGAGCA